CAGCAGCCACGGUAAAACGAAGGUCCCGAGCGUUGUUCGGAAUCACAGGGCGUAAAGGGAGCGUAGGCGGCGUGGUAAGUCAGAUGUGAAAUCCCGGGGCUCAACCCCGGAACUGCAUCCGAUACUGCCAUGCUAGAGGAUUGGAGAGGUAGCUGGAAUUCUUGGUGUAGCAGUGAAAUGCGUGGAGAUCAAGAGGAACACUCGUGGCGAAGGCGGCCAUCUGGGACAACACUGACGCUGAGGCACGAAAGCGUGGGGAGCAAACAGGAUUAGAUACCCGCGUAGUCCCUGUCUCUUAUAC
rnacentral:rRNA from 1 species